rnacentral:lncRNA from 1 species
CUCCACAGAAACAGAAACAUACAACAGAAAUUUAAGUGACAGGUCAAGAACAACUACGGAAAUAACGGAAAGAACGGAAAGAACGGAAAAUAGCCACCGAAAGACAUAAACAUACGGCAGAAAAUUAGGUGACAGGUCAAGAACAACAAUGGAAAGAACGGAAAGAACGGAAAGAACCUCCAGAGAGACAGAAACAUACGGCAAAAACUUAGGUGACAGGUCUAGAACAACAAAGGAAAUAACAGAAAAACCAAAAUAACGGAAAUAAUAAAGGAAAUAACAGAAAAAAAUAACUGAAAUAAUAACGGAAAUAAUGGAAAUAAUGGAAAUAUUGGAAAUAACGGAAAUAAACUUUACAGAGACAGAAACUUACGGCAGAAAA